rnacentral:rRNA from 1 species
GGCUACCUACGGGACGCAGCAGUGGGGGAUAUUGCACAAUGGGGGGAACCCUGAUGCAGCGACGCCGCGUGGGUGAAGAAGCGCCUCGGCGCGUAAAGCCCUGUCAGCAGGGAAGAAAAUGACGGUACCUGAAGAAGAAGCCCCGGCUAACUACGUGCCAGCAGCCGCGGUAAUACGUAGGGGGCGAGCGUUAUCAGGAUUUACUGGGUGUAAAGGGGGCGCAGACGGCGAUGCAAGCCAGGAGUGAAAGCCCGGGGCCCAAC